rnacentral:rRNA from 1 species
GAAAAUGAGAGUUUGAUCCUGGCUCAGGACGAACGCUGGCGGCGUGCCUAAUACAUGCAAGUCGAGCGAGCUUGCCUAGAUGAAUUUGGUGCUUGCACCAAAUGAAACUAGAUACAAGCGAGCGGCGGACGGGUGAGUAACACGUGGGUAACCUGCCCAAGAGACUGGGAUAACACCUGGAAACAGAUGCUAAUACCGGAUAACAACACUAGACGCAUGUCUAGAGUUUAAAAAGAUGGUUCUGCUAUCACUCUUGGAUGGACCUGCGGUGCAUUAGCUAGUUGGUAAGGUAACGGCUUACCAAGGCAAUGAUGCAUAGCCGAGUUGAGAGACUGAUCGGCCACAUUGGGACUGAGACACGGCCCAAACUCCUACGGGAGGCAGCAGUAGGGAAUCUUCCACAAUGGACGCAAGUCUGAUGGAGCAACGCCGCGUGAGUGAAGAAGGGUUUUCGGCUCGUAAAGCUCUGUUGGUAGUGAAGAAAGAUAGAGGUAGUAACUGGCCUUUAUUUGACGGUAAUUACUUAGAAAGUCACGGCUAACUACGUGCCAGCAGCCG